rnacentral:rRNA from 1 species
GUGGGGAAUCUUAGACAAUGGGCGCAAGCCUGAUCUAGCCAUGCCGCGUGAGCGAUGAAGGCCUUAGGGUUGUAAAGCUCUUUCAGGGGGGAAGAUAAUGACGGUACCCCCAGAAGAAGCCCCGGCUAACUCCGUGCCAGCAGCCGCGGUAAUACGGAGGGGGCUAGCGUUGUUCGGAAUUACUGGGCGUAAAGCGCACGUAGGCGGACCAGAAAGUCAGGGGUGAAAUCCCGGGGCUCAACCCCGGAACUGCCUUUGAAACUCCUGGUCUUGAGGUCGAGAGAGGUGAGUGGAAUUCCGAGUGUAGAGGUGAAAUUCGUAGAUAUUCGGAGGAACACCAGUGGCGAAGGCGGCUCACUGGCUCGAUACUGACGCUGAGGUGCGAAAGCGUGGGGAGCAAACAGGAUUAGAUACCCUUGUAGUCC